UACGUAGGCAGCGAGCGUUGUUCGGAGUUACUGGGCGUAAAGAGUGCGUAGGCGGUUUUCUAAGUUUGGUGUGAAAUCUCCCGGCUCAACUGGGAGGGUGCGCCGAAGACUGGAAGGCUUGAGUAUGGGAGAGGUAAGCGGAAUUCCUGGUGUAGCGGUGAAAUGCGUAGAUAUCAGGAGGAACACCUGCGGUGUAGACGGCUUACUGGACCAUAACUGACGCUGAGGCACGAAAGCUAGGGGAGCAAACGGG
rnacentral:rRNA from 1 species